UGUGAAUACCAUACUACAUGUAUAUAAUUAUAUUAUAUAUCGUGUGUACGCGAAAACAGGGUAUACUGGAUAAUUAAUAUUACUCAGUAACCCAUAACUUUCGAGUUUUGUUUGUGGGAUAUAAAAUAGUAGGCAAUUGGAUCAUCAAUCUCUCACAGACAGAAUUCUAAAAUAUGUAUAGGGUACAGGUCCAUUUCAAUGCCCCCCCCCCACUUUCGAAAUUUGAACUUCUGAUCACGCCAAACGUUUGUGCAUCGUUUUUGCAGAAAUGUGCACCAAGUCCAAUCGUUUGUGCACAAAAACUGAAAGCUCUAUCCCUAAAACAAAAUGGGGGGGGGCCAUUGAAACGAGAUACCCUCUUUUUGGAAAGUUGAAAUUUUUAAGGUGCCAAACGUUUGUGCAUCGUUUGUGCAGAAAUGUGCACCAGAUCCCGACGUUUUUGCACAAAAACUCCCAGCGCUAUCCAAAAAACAAAGUGAGGGGUAUUAACACGAGGGUCCCCCUUUUUUGAAAUUUUAAAUAUUUGUCAUAUUAAUAAAUUUUGUUUACGUACCUAAUAGGUUUAAUAGAAUUUUACUAUUGCCAUGUAAACGUAUGACAAAUAAAAUCUUCAAAUAUUUUUAAUUUAUCAAGAAAGCAUUAUCUUGUUCUAAUGUUUUUGAUUUCAAAAUUGUAUGAAUAAAUACAGUUUUUUCUUUAUGCAUUUCUUUACUUUAUAUUUUAUGUUAUAUUUUGCUGACGAAAAUGUGUUUAUGGACAGGUACCUCAACUCGACGUUGCUGUAUGUCCGGUCCAAUAAUGUAAGUUAUAAGUCAUUGUGUAUAUUUUAAUACAAUAAAAGCAUAGUAAAAAAAUAAUUAAUAGACUAUAUUAAUAUAGUACCUACUUAAUUAAUUUAAUAUACCUAACCGUACCUAUAUACAUAUAAAAAUAUUAUAAUAAUAUAUUAUUUAUGUUUGAAUUCAUUAGAACAAUGGCGUAUCAGACGUCGCUCCCAAACCGGUCGACAUCCAUCUGCAUAACUCAUUCCGCAAAAAUGAGCGGUAUAGUUUGAAAACUUACCAAAGUUAUCUGGUGGAUGUCGAUACGUUGGUGAGCAGCCGUCGCACAUAGGUCUGAUAUACCUAUGGAAAGUUAUUAUUGGAUCGGUCAUAAUAUUACGUUGAGAAGUUAUCUGUCCAUAAACUUAUUUUCAGAUUUGUAGGCCAAUUCCGUUGCCAUUUUUUAAUCAUUCUUUGUUUUUAUUAAGGUUGAGGUGUAACAGCAUUUUAAGGGCUAUUGUAAUUCCCACUUCCAGGACUUUAUCAUACAUACAGCCGACAGCCCGAUGACCUACAUUUUUGUGUAUUCUGGUCUACCCUAUGAUGGCCGCGAAGUAACGAUCACGUCACCGUUUAUCAGAUUGUCCAGUUUGAAAGAGUCUCCAACAAUUUCAUCGGAUAGGUACGCCAUAAACCGUGGCAUAGCGCUGGGCUAGCAUCAUUUUGUCCGGAUCAAUAUCUACAAAAAUGACGUCCCAAUUAUUAGAAGCUAAUAAUAUAGUGUCUUUGUCGAACAGUCAGCUGUACGAAGUUUCCGCUGUGCCACAAAACGGGUCGACGCCGGUCGCUGAACAUCCUCAAGUCCACCCAGCAUCGUAUUGAUGAAUCAACAAUACAUCUUACAUCUUACAUCUAACAUCUUACAUCUUACAUCUAUCAUUGCAAUCUUAUAAUUAUUCACCUGAAUGCAUGUAAUCCUGAAUGUACAGUUAAUUUAUUACUUAGCCUUUGAUAUUACCAAGUAUAUUUGAUGAUAUUAUAGUGAAUAAAGUAAUUUAUAUAUAACCUAUUUACAUGGAACCUUGUUUUAAAUAUUUAA